rnacentral:lncRNA from 1 species
AAAAACGUCCUAAGGGUUUCUUCAAGCUGGUUUUUCAUAAUUUUUUCACCAAGUGAGUUAAUCCUUGCCAUUUUCUUAUAAUUUUUGUGUUUCUAAGACUUUUACAACUAGGUCCUAUUACUAAAUUCAUUAGUUUUUGAUUUCAUGGAUGAAAUUGAAAGUCACUAUGGUUGAAUGCUGUAAGUUCAUGAUGAAAUAGCAUGAAAGUGAAGCUUUAAUUUGUUUAUGAAAUGAUUUUAUUAGGUAAUUUCAAUAGAAAUUGAUUUAUAGGACCUAAUUGGGAAAAGGUUUGGAAUAAAAGUCUAGUGCUAAAAUUAUGAUUUCCAAAGGUUAUAAAGUAGUUUAAAGUGAUGAGAUAAAGUGUUAAUUGAGAAAAAUCAGCUCAAUUGAGAGGUUAAUUGAGCAGGGAUGAAAUUAUCAUUUAUUGAAAGUUUAGGGAAAAAUGGUAAUUAACCUCAUGCACUAAAACAGUUUGGACAGCAGCAGUAGGUUAACUUUGAAAAAUCACCAAAAAUUGUAGAUAUUGAAUUAGAGGAUGAAUAAAAUAUGAAAUUAAAGCUUAUUGAGUCUAGUUUCUUAUAAAAGAAAUGGUGUAAGCAAUGGAAUUGUAAAUCAUGAGAUAUAAUAGGUUUUGUGAGACAAGGUCAGAAUGAAUUCGGGUUCCCCUGUUCUGACUUUGGAAAAUCAUUAAAAAUUGUAAAAAAAUUAUUAUGAGUUAUAAUUUAUAUGGUUAUAAUCCUUAAUGAGUCUAUUUUUAGAAGAAACAAACAGAAACAUCAACUGAAUUCUGUACAAUGAGAUAAUUAUUUUUUAGUGAAGAGGGGUUGGAACUAUCAAAUAAUGAAACAGAGAAAACUUUAAAGAAUAAACUGUACUUUUUGGCUAAACCAAAAAUUCUGAAAAUUUUAUGGUAAGAAGAUAUGUGAGUCUAGUUUCAGGGAAAAUUAACAGAUAUUAAUUUGAAGUUUUUUAGCUCAAGAUAUAAAUAAUUUAGUGACUGUGACUCAGUAAGACAGCUUUGAAUGCACUAUAAAUAAUAAUGGAAUUAUAGAGAAUCUUACACAUGAAAUGUAUUAGAUUAAUGAUUAAAUUUAUUUAUUUAGAUCCAGAAAGUUCAAAUACGAAGCUAGAUCGAGGAAAAGAAAAAGUUCUGGAUUAGUAGAUUUUUUUUGUUUACGAACAAGUAUCGAGGUAAGUUCGUGUAACUUGAAUUCUAUUCUUAAAUGCUUGAAAUGUUUGUUAUUGUUGUGAAUAUGAGUUGUAUGUUUAUUGUAUGAGAUGAAGUAUUGAUAUACUUGAUGAAAAGAGGAAAUAAAUCCCGGUUGAAUGAAAGGAAAAUUCGAUGGAUCUCUGAAAAGGAAUUGACGGUAAAAAGGAUCUAGCCCGGACGGGUGAUCCUAUCCUGAUAUAGCUCUCCCGAAGAAUAUGUGGAAAAUGGAUUUAGCCCGGACGGGUAAUCCAAAUUAGGGUCUGAAUUUAGCCUGGACUGGUAAUUCAGAUCCAAGCUCAUUAGUGUAAUUGUCAUUGCAGGGGAUUUAGCCUGUACUGGUAAUCCCGCUGUAAGGAUGAGGUUCGCGGGAGUGUGCUCUCUGAAAUGGAAAUGUGCGCACAUGAAUAUGAAUUGACGGACCCGAAAUUGUACACUAAAGUGUACCUCUGAAAAACCAUCGAAAUUUCAAGUAGUUCAACGGGGGUAAAUAUGGAAAAAUAACAAGGAAAUGGAAAUCAUGGUAUUGAUGGGCUCAUCAAUCAUGGUAUAUGUAACACCCCCUACCCGUAUCCGUCGCCGGAACAGGAUACGAGGUAUUACCAGAUUUUACUGAAUAAAAUUUUUUUAACUCAAUAUAACCCGUUUAUAAAUAUCUACUCUUUCCUAAAAUUUUAAAACCGAGACUAAUCCAACACAACCAAUCCAUUUCAAAAUAUUUUCAAGAUAGAUUUACCGUAUUCAUAAGAUAAUCUUAUCACAUACCAAAACCAAAAUUUGUUAGCCAUAUUAAUGGCUAACCAUACAUUCAUUCCACAUUAACAUCUACUUUACUAGCUUAUACAUGCCAUUGAUUUCCAAAAUAAAGUUUCUUUAUGUACCGAGAUCUUGAGGUUGAUAGUGUGAUGUGUCUCUGACCAAAUCCGACCUCCGAGCUCUUAACUUUACAAACAGGGGAAAAAGAAACAGGGUAAGCACUUUGUGCUUAGUAAGCUCAUGUAACAGGAAUUAUAUUUACCUAAAUUUUUUUAUACAAUGCAAUAAACAUUCAUACAUCCAUUCAAUACAUUAUUCCCCUAUCAUGCACAAACUCAACAUUCAAAUUGGUUCAAUAAUUUCCAUGUAUCAAUAAUUUAUACCAUGAUUGAUGAGCUCAUCAAUACCAUGAUUUCCAUUUCCUUAUUAUUUUUCCAUAUUUACCCCGUUGAACUACUUGGAAUUUCGAUGGAUUUUCAGAGGUACACUUUAGUGUACAAUUUCGGGUCCGUCAAUUCAUAUUCAUGUGCGCACAUUUCCAUUUCAGAGAGCACACUCCCGCGAACCUCAUCCUUACAGCGGGAUUACCAGUCCAGGCUAAAUCCCCUGUAAUAUAAACUCACAGAGUACUGUCGAGAUUACCAGUCCAGGCUAAAUCCCUUGCAAUGACAAUUACUCUAAUGAGCUUGGAUCUGAAUUACCAGUCCAGGCUAAAUUCAGACCCUAAUUUGGAUUACCCAUCCGGGCUAAAUCCAUUUUCCACAUAUUCUUCGGAAGGGCUAUAUCAGGAUAGGAUCACCCGUCCGGGCUAGAUCAUUUUUACCGUCAAUUCCUUUUCAGAGAUCCAUCGAAUUUUCCUUCCAUUCAACCGGGAUUUAUUUUCUCUUUUCAUCAAGAAUAUCAAUACUUCAUCAAUUAUCAUACAAUAAACAUCCAACUCAUUUUCACAUCAAUAACAAACAUUUUAAGCAUUUAAGAAUAUAAUUCAAGUUACACGAACUUACCUUGAUACUUGUUCGUAAACAAAAAAAUAUAUCUAAUCCCGAACUUUUUCUUUUCCUCGAUCUAGCUUCGUAUUUGAACUUUCUGGAUCUAAAUAAAUAAAUUUAAUCAUUAAUCUAAUACAUUUCAUGUUCAUGUGUAAGAUUCUCUAUAAUUCCAUUAUUAUUUAUAGUGCAUUCAAAGCUAUCUUACUGCGUCACAGUCACUAAAUUAUUUAUAUAUUGAGCUACAGAACUCAAAAUUAAGAUACCUUAAUUUUCCCUUAAACUAGACUUGCAUAUCUUCUUACCAUAAAAAUUUCAGAAUUUUUUGUGUAGCCAAAAAGUACAGUUUAUUCUUUAAAGUUUCCCCUGUUUCAUUGUUUGACAGUUCCAAUCCCUCUUCACUAAAAAUUAAUUAUCUCAUUGUACAGAAUUAGGAUGAUGUUUCCACUUGUUUCUUCUGAAAAUAGACUCAUUAAGGAUUCUAACCAUAUAAAUUAUAACUCAUAAUCAUUUUUUUACAAAUUUUAAUGAUUUUCCAAAGUCAGAACAGGGGAACCCAAAUUCAUUCUGGCCUUGUAUCACAAAAUCUAUUAUAUAUCAUGAUUUACAAUUCCAUUGAUUAAACCAUUUCUUCUACGAGAAACUAGACUCAAUAAUUUUUAAUUUCAUAUUUUAUUCAUCCUCUAAUUCGAUCUCUACAAUUUUUGGUGAUUUUUCAAAAGUGGACUACUACUGCUGUCCAAAACUGUUUUAAUGUAUGAUAUUAAUUACCAUUUUUCCCUAAACUUUCAAUAAAUGAUAAUUUCAUCCCUGCUCAAUUAACCUCUCAAUUGAGCUGAUUUUUCUCAAUUAACAUUUUAUCCCAUCACUUUAAACUACUUUAUAAUCUUUGGAAAUCAGAAUUUUAGCACUAGACUUUAAUUCCAAACCUUUUCACAAUUAGGUCCUAUAAAUCAAUUUCUAUUGAAAUUACCUAAUAAAAUCAUUUCAUAAACAAAUUAAAGCUUCACUUUCAUGCUAUUUCAUCAUGAACUUACAGCACUCAACCAUAGUGACUUUCAAUUUCAUCCAUGAAAUCAAAAACUAAUGAAUUUAGUAAUAGGACUUAGUUGUAAAAGUCUUAGAAACACAAAAAUUAUAAGAAAAAAGCAAGGAUUAACUCACUUGGUGCAAAAAUUAUGAAAAACCAGCUUGAAGAAACCCUUAGGACGUUUUUUUCUGAUGAGAGUGCGGAAAAUAUGAAGAGAAUUCUAGAUAUUCCACUUUAGUCCUAACUUUUAAAGUAAUUUUUGUAAUAUUCCAAAUUUACCCUUAAUUCUUCAAUUCUCCUGAUUUUUCUCAACGUAUGCCGCCCAAAAUAUCUUCUUUUGGGAUUAUUUGCAAUUUAUGUCCCUCCUCAUUUAACAAUUGAGCUAUUUAAUCAUUCUAGUAACUUUUACACCUUUUCAAUUUAGUCCUUUUUACGUAAUUGACUAUCCAAACAUUAAAAUUUUCUAACGAAAUUUUUAUACCAUAUCACUAAUAUUUCAUAAUUAUUUAUAAAAUUAUUUUUGACUCGGUUUUACAAGAUCAAGGUCUCAAUACCUUAUUUUUACCCAAUUUCUUCAAUAAUUUCUUUUUCUAACUAACCCCUAAAUCGGUAAAAUUUUUCUAUCAAUAUUUUCAUACGAUUUUCCUAUCAUAUAAAUAUUCAUGCAAAAAUAUUAAAAUAAAUUUCUCUUUAAAUCGGAUUUGUGGUUACGAAACCACUAUUCCGAUAGCCUUGAAUUUAGGCCAUUACAGUAUAAAUUAUUGAUACAUGGAAAUUAUUGGACUAAUUUGAAUGUUGAGUUUGUGCAUGAUAAGGGAAUAAUGUAUUGAAUGUAUGUAUGAAUGUUUAUUGCAUUGUAUUUAAAAUAUUAGGUAAGUAUAAUUCUUGUUACAUGAGCUUACUAAGCACAAAGUGCUUACCCUGUUUCUUUUUCCCCUGUUUUGUAGUGUUAAGAGCUCAGAGGUCGGAUUUGGUCGGAGACGUAUCACACUAUCAAUCUCAAGAUCUCGGUAUAUAAAGAAACUUUAUUUUUGGAAAUCAAUGGCAUGUAUAAGCUAGUAAAGUAGAUGUUAUAUGAAAUGAAUGUAUGGUUAGCCAUUGGUAUGGCUAACAAAUUUUGAUUUUGGCAUGUGAUGAGAUUAUCGUAUGAAUACAAUAAAUCUAUCUUGAAAAUAUGUUGAAAUGGA